rnacentral:rRNA from 1 species
GGCCAGACUCCUACGGGAGGCAGCAGUGGGGAAUAUUGCACAAUGGGGGAAACCCUGAUGCAGCGACGCCGCGUGAGUGAAGAAGUAUUUCGGUAUGUAAAGCUCUAUCAGCAGGGAAGAAAAUGACGGUACCUGACUAAGAAGCCCCGGCUAACUACGUGCCAGCAGCCGCGGUAAUACGUAGGGGGCAAGCGUUAUCCGGAUUUACUGGGUGUAAAGGGGGCGCAGACGGCGAUGCAAGCCAGGAGUGAAAGCCCGGGGCCCAACCCCGGGACUGCUCUUGGAACUGCGUGGCUGGAGUGCAGGAGGGGCAGGCGGAAUUCCUGGUGUAGCGGUGAAAUGCGUAGAUAUCAGGAGGAACACCGGUGGCGAAGGCGGCCUGCUGGACUGCAACUGACGUUGAGGCCCGAAAGCGUGGGGAGCAAACAGGAUUAGAUACCCCAGUAGU